rnacentral:tRNA from 1 species
GCCUUCGUGGUGUAAUGGUCAGCACACUCGGCGCGUAUCGUGUAGUCCGAGGUUCGAGUCCUGGCGAGGGCA